rnacentral:rRNA from 1 species
GAUGAACGCUGGCGGCGUGCCUAAUACAUGCAAGUCGAGCGAACAGACGAGGAGCCUGCUCCUCUGACGUUAGCGGCGGACGGGUGAGUAACACGUGGAUAACCUACCUAUAAGACUGGGAUAACUUCGGGAAACCGGAGCUAAUACCGGAUAACAUGUUGAACCGCAUGGUUCAACAGUGAAAGACGGUCUUGCUGUCACUUAUAGAUGGAUCCGCGCCGCAUUAGCUAGUUGGUAAGGUAACGGCUUACCAAGGCAACGAUGCGUAGCCGACCUGAGAGGGUGAUCGGCCAAACUGGAACGGAGACACGGUCAAGACGCCUAAGGGAGGCAGCAGUAGGGAAUCUUCCGCAAUGGGCGAAAGCCUGACGGAGCAACGCCGCGUGAGUGAAGAAGGUCUUCGGAUCGUAAAACUCUGUUAUUAGGGAAGAACAAAUGUGUAAGUAACUAUGCACGUCUUGACGGUACCUAAUCAGAAAGCCACGGCUAACUACGUG